ensembl:snoRNA SNORA70 Small nucleolar RNA SNORA70
CUGUAUAAGCAAACCAUGCUGCUUGCCUGUGAGGCCUGAUGUGCAGUGUGCAGUGUCUGCAAAUGACAGUCCCUCUGGUAGUGUUUGCGGCCUGUUGCUUGUGUAGGCUGCCCAAAGGGACUUCGAGAAGGGC